UUGAGGCUAAAUGCAGUGCACAGGAACCAUAACUCUAGCUGCAGUAAUUUUUUAGUUAUUGUCCUUUGUUAUUUCUAUACUUAUUCUUUUGUCUGGGGCAUGGCUUUCAAAUCUUUGAGGUAUUGAUUUCAAACUUUAUAUACUGAUAUAUAUCUCAGUGAGGAGAAGUGCAAUGAACAAGAGAGAUAUACUUUCAGAGUAUGACACAUAUAUACUUACUGUGUGUGACACGUAUACUUAUUGUGUGUGAUGUAUAUACUUUCUAAGUGUUACACAUAUUAUUUCAGGGUGUGACACAUGUAUUGACAACAUGCUUGAUGACCUUGAGGUCCUGGAAGUUGAUGUGGAGAGUGUAAAGGGCAGGCUGUAUUGUCCAUUGGUGUUGUGGCCAUGAAAAGACUUUUAAGAGAGGGCGAACGCUUUUAUAUUCACUCUUGCAGGUACUCGAUGUUGUGUGUGGGCAGAAAUGCAGAGUGGACUACCACCAGUCACUGGAGCCAACUUUCCUCACAGACGAGAGACUUGUUCAGACACUGACUGCAGUUUCGAGAAUAGCACUCAACUGUAUACUUACACACUUCAGGACCUUUUUCCUUGGUGGAUGGAUUCAGAGACGACCAAGAGAUGCAGCCAUGACUGUGUCACAUGGAAGUUAAAGAUACUGGACUUAAACAAAUGAUAAUAAUCUUGAUAUGGUUUUCUGGUGUUGAAUUAAAAGACAAAGUGUCAAUUAAUUGUCAAUUUACAUGAUCAUUACUCAUUAAAUUGGCAUAGCAAUAAUUAUGAUUACUAUCUAUCUAAAUACAUGUAGUGAUAAUAGUUUUUUUGUAAAUUACCUCAGUCAAAUUCGUUGCUGUUGAAAAAAAAUAAUUCUAAACCCAUCAGGCAGGCAAAACACCAACUGAUGUUGUACUGUUAACUGCUGAGGGUUUAAUAUCCAGUAAGCUAAAAGUCAAAAGGGACAUCAGCACAAAAUUUCAGAUUAAGAGGUAAAUUCAAAUUAAUAUUUUUCAGUGUUAGCAGCCUGGGUUGGUGGGACCUUAGUCUGCCGUGCAGUCGUCUUAAUGUAGAUGAAUGCUUUAGCCUGCCGCACAGUCAUCCAAAUGUGGAUCACCAUUCAGCCAGCCAAGCAGACGUCCUAAUGUGGAUCGCUCAGUCAGCCGCGCAGUCAUCCUAAUGUGGAUGACCAUUCAGUCAGCCACGCAGUCCUCCUAAUGUGGGUGACCGGUCAGUCAGCACGCAGUCGUCCUAAUGUGGAUGACCGUUCAGUAAGCUGCGCAGUCAUCUUAAUGUGGAUCACCGGUCAGUCAGCCGAGCAGUCAUCCUAAUGUGGAUGACCGUUCAGUCAGCCGCGCAGUCGUCCUAAUGUGGAUGACCGGUCAGUCAGCUGCCCAGUCGUCCUAAUGUGGAUGACUCGGGUCAGUCAGCCGCGCAGUCGUCCUAAUGUGCAGUCAGCCUGGCAGUCGUCCUAAUGUGGAUGACCGUUUAGUCAGCUGCGCAGUCGUCCUAAUGUGGAUGACCACUGAGUCAGCCGCGCAGUCGUCUUUAUGUGGAUCAUCGUUCAGUCAGCCGCGCAGUCGUCCUAAUGUGCUAUCAGCCACACAGUCGUCCUAAUGUGGAUAACCAUUCAGUCAGCCGUGCAGUCAUCCUAAUUUGGAUCACCACUUUCACUACAGUCGACUUUAAUAAGACAUUUAGGUGGGCAAUAAAUAUAGCCUACAGUUUAUAGUGAGAUGUAUUAUAACAUUAGUAAUUUCAUUCAUGAAAAAGGGAACAAAACUUUGAAACUGCAAUUUUUGUACAAAGUGCACUUGAAGAAACCGUUGAAUGUUACAGGAAAACUUGAUGCUAUAUUCUUAUCAAAUGUUAAAAAUUCAGAAAAUGAUUUCAUUUAUUUGCUCAACUAUUCAGUGAAACUGUUUGUAAUCUCACUUUUUAAAGGGACUUGUUCAUGGUUUUUAAAAUGCACUUUUUUCAAAAUAAUUAGAAUUGUUAAGAGAUAGUGUGGUGAAUCAAUAAGAGUGUAAAAACUAUGAUACUGACAGUUGGAACCUUACAACAAAUGUUGAUAUUUGCUCAAAUAUUUUCUGAAGACUAAAAUUUUGAAAAAAGUUAGCAACGCGAUUGACCACAGGGUUGUUCCAUGAUUGGUUGAUCACAUAAUCAUGUGAUGUUACCGAUGUCUUUGAUAUAGGUUUCCCAUCAUAUCUAUUAGAAGUUGUAUAUCAGUCCUUGUGGCCCAGUGUUUUUGCCUGGGUUUUCUAAAUUUUUCUUGACUACCGUCGUGGGUAAUCUCUCCAUACUUAAACCAGAAUUUUUAAAUAUACUUAAAUUGUAUUUGUUUCUGCAAUUAUGAUAUCAAAUAAUUAAAUAAUGAUAAAAUAAACAAAGUCAGAGGCAUUUUCUGGGUAAACUUAUUUUUUCAAAAAAUAUUAUCGAGUCCCUUUAAAGCUUACAAAAUUUCAAUAUCUGUCAUCACUGACCAAAGCUGUAGCUGAAAAAUACAUGAAUUGACGCUCUCAAUUUUUAAAUUUAGCAGAAUUGACUCAAUACAUUGCAUGUGGUACACCUAUGCUAUUAUGUAUGAUACUAUUUGUGUAAAUGUUUUCCAACAUAAUUGAAACUGAAUUGAAGAUGCUUUUUUUGGACAUAUUAUUGUUUUGAUUGACUUUGCAUAAUAAACUAUGACUAACUUCAUGAGAGAA